GCACGGGUGGUGGAAUUGGUAGACACUCAAGACUUAAAAUCUUGUGCUCCUUAGUGGGCGUGCGGGUUCAAGUCCCGCCCCGUGCACCA
rnacentral:tRNA from 1 species